rnacentral:rRNA from 1 species
UACGGAGGAUGCGAGCGUUAUCCGGAUUUAUUGGGUUUAAAGGGUGCGUAGGCGGGCUUUUAAGUCAGCGGUAAAAAUUCGGGGCUCAACCCCGUCCGGCCGUUGAAACUGGGGGCCUUGAGUGGGCGAGAAGAAGGCGGAAUGCGUGGUGUAGCGGUGAAAUGCAUAGAUAUCACGCAGAACCCCGAUUGCGAAGGCAGCCUUCCGGCGCCCUACUGACGCUGAGGCACGAGAGUGCGGGGAUCGAACAGG